rnacentral:lncRNA from 1 species
CCUCAAUUCGUUGGGGCAUAGACUCUACAAGGUGUCGAAAGUGUUUCACAGGGAUGCUGGCCCAUGUUGACUCCAAUGCUUCCCACAGUUGUGUCAAGUUGGCUGGAUGUCCUUUGGUUGGUGAACCAUUCUUGAUACACACGGGAAAAUGUUGAGCGUGAAAAACCCAGCAGUGUUGCAGUUCUUGACACUCAAACCGGUGCGCCUGGCACCUACUACCAUAACCUGUUCAAAUGCACUUCAAAAUGUUCUUGCCCAUUCACCCUCUCAAUGGCACACAUACACAAUCCAUGUCUCAAUUGUCUUAAAAAUCCUCCUUUAACCUGUCUCCGCCCCUUCAUCUACACUGAUUUGAAGUGGAUUUAACAAGUGUCCUCAAUAAGGGAUCGUAGCUUUCACCCGGUCAGUCUGUCAUGGAUAGAGCAGGUGUCCUUAAUGUUUUGUACACUCAGUGUCUAGUGCACUAUAAAGGGAUUAGAGUGCCAUUUGGGAUUCAUAUGCUUUUCCAUCCCAAUGUGAUCAUGUACAGUGGCAUCGGUAGUGUUACCCAGACAGAGGCUGUCCUCUCCUUCCUGCUAUAUGGUGCCUCACAGUGAAACCCAUGCCUUGUCUGUCAUGAGUAUGGUCACAGAGGCUGACACAAGAAUAAAUCACUAUUUGAUUGAGAUCCUUGAUCGUUCGAGUCCUUUUAAGUAUAUUAAUGGAUAUUAAGCCCAUAUAUGCCACAGCUUGGUAUGAAGUGUGUGUUGUGAGGUCAUUGUGGGGAGGUGUAUGACUGUGUGGCCGGCAGGAGUGGCCUGGUGGUGACGGGGAGACAAGGGUUUAAUGGGACUGUGGAGAAGGGGGGACUAUUGACUUAGAGUGAAACUGUCUGCAUCCCUGCCUAGCACUCUAACGGGAGAGUUGGGACAGACUGAGAGAGAGAUGAGGCCUGGGCUGAGUCCCUCUGACCUGCCCAGUAGUACCCCUCAUCACUCUCCCUUCCACUGAAGGCUGAAAGCGGUGUUUCUUGCAUCUCUCUCCCAAUGUGAAGGUUAUUUCAAAGUGUGUGUGUGUGUGUGUGUGUGUGUGUGUGAGAUUUCUCUCCAUUUGCUGCUGUGCACACAGACGCAAAAUAACACACCUUUCUGUCAUAGUCCGAGGCAUUGUUUCAAAUACCAAAUGUUUAUUUUAUUACUCAAGAUUAUUCCAUAGUGUUUGUAUAAUAUUACAUAUUCAAAUAUGAAACUGACUGUAAUAUGUUAAUUUACAUGAUGUUGAAUGAAUGGGAGAGUUACUAAAACCAUUUAGUUUAUGCAAAUAUGAAAAAUAGAAGGAUAAAGCGGCUCUUUCAUAAGCUAGUUUCUUUACUUUUCAGUACAUAUUGUUUUGAUUGUACUCAACAAUAUUUUAUGUAUUUCAAUAAACUGUUCAUUAAAUCAUGAUUAAAAUGCCAUUUAUUUAUCACGCAC